rnacentral:lncRNA from 1 species
UUUUUUUUUUGUUUUUGUUUUUUUUAUGGCCGCACCCAUGGCAUACGGAGGUUCCCAGGCCAGGGGUCAAAUUAGAGCUUAAACUGCUGGCCUACACAACAGCCACAGCCAUAGCAAAGCCAGAGCUGACCGUGUCUGCGGCCUACACCACAGCUCAUGGCAACGCCAGAUCCUUAACCCACUGAGGAAGGCCAGGGAUUGAACCUGUGUCCUCAUGGACACUAGUCAGAUUCAUUUCCACUGAGCCAUGAGGAACUCCUCAUUUUACAUCUUUACAAAUCUUUUUUCUGUCUACCUUAAUGGAAGAUAGCUGGAUUCUUGGAUCCAUUUCUGCUUUCAAUCUCUCGUGAAAUCACAGAUCUCAGUUUCUGGAAAACUCCACCAUACACUUGUAAAGCCACUGGUCCCAUCAAUGUUCACUUUAACACCUGAGACAAGUAGACACACAGGUCACACUUGAACGUGCUCAGUGAAUGGAAACUUACCAGCCCACUGCUCCUCCCAAAGCAUCUCGGUUAGAAAGUUCCUCUCUCUGUCCUGCUAGCUGUUCUCUCUCAUUAGUCAUAGGCACGCUCCUUAACAUUAUUCAGAAUAAAUUUCAUCAUUUCUUUAAGGCUAAGCCCCUCAUAUACUUUACUGUAAGAGUUAUUCAUAGCUUUAUAGUUUACAGGGUACUUUUGCCCAUACUCUCUUAAACAAUAACUUUAAGAUAAUCAAUUCGAUUCUAAACACAUAUGUCAAUAGAAUUUAUCAUGAGUUAUGCCCUCCUGCUGACAGUCUCAAGAUCUGUCUAUGAUCUUUUACCAGACACAAAUAGUCCCUAUAGCAACAGUUUUCAGGUAUCAGACUGGCAGAGCUUAUAGACUUCAAGUGUCUGGGAUGGUAAAAUUAAAAGUACACUGAAAGCAAUUAAUGCCAUUUAGAAGAGAGAGUUCCCUUUUCUGCUUAAGUCACACCUUCUCAUUGCAUUAGACAUCCAAGCCUUGUGUUUUAAGUGCCUCCUACAGCAUCCUGAAAGCUUCAUGCAUGUUUCCACAUGCCUUGUAAAUAACUUAAGCUUGGCUGUUCAUCAAAUUUGUCCACCAGGUCCCUGCUUAGAGGUGGCCUAGGGAGAUGACGUGUGCUGGUUAGUGAGGGUAGAAAGACAACAUUUGUGGCUGGUUCUGAAACACAGAACAAGUCCUGGAAACAUCUCCAAAAAAACCACUAUCCAGAAUAGAAAAUACAGUUUCUUCUCAUGGUAACCCUAAAUUCUGGGAAGAAAAAGCAGUGCUCAGCCAGAUUUAAAAAUUGAGUUUGAAAUCCUCUUACAUCCACAUGAAAAUACCUGACACACACACCAAAAAAUGGUACACUGUUUAGGGGAAUGCAAAUUGGUGCAAUCAUCAUGGACAACAGUAUGAAGGCGCCUCAACAAGUUAAAAAUAUUAAAACUACUACAUGAUCCAGCAAUUUCACUUUUGGGUAUACAUCCAAAAUAAAUGAAAUCAGCAUCGCAAAGAGAUGUCUGCACUCCCACAGUCACUGCAGUAUCAUUCACAUUAGCCAACAUAUGGAAAGAACCUAAGUGUCUAUUAGUCGAUAAAUGGCUAAAGAAACUAUUAUAAGAUAAAAUACAAUAAUUAUAUAUAUGUGUGUGUGUGUGUGUGUGUGUGUGUAUAUAUAUAUUUCCCAGCCAUCGGAAGGUGUGAAAUUUGGUCAUUUGCAACAACGUGGAUAUACUUAGGGGAUAUUAUGCUAAGUGAAAUAAGACAAAUACUGUAUGAUAUCACAUGUGUAGAGUAUUUUUUUUAAAUGUUGAACUCACAGAAACAGAGUAGAACACUAGUUACCAAAGGGGUAGGGAAAAUGGAGAGAGGCUGAUUAAAGGGUAUGAGCCUUCAUUUACAAGCUGAAUAAAUUCUAAGGAUGUAAUAUACAGCAUGGUGACUAUAGUUAAUAAUACUAUACUGUCUAUUUGAAAUUUGCGUAGAGAAUAAAUCUUAAGCAUCCUCACCACACACACACACACACACACACACACAAAUGGUAACUAUGCCAGGUGACAAGGUGUUAAUCAACCCGGUUGUGGUAAUUAUUCUACAAUGUAUAUCACAUCACCAUGAUGUGUACUUUACAUAUUUUAUUUGUCAAUUAAACCUUAAUAAAUCUGAACAAAAAAUAAAGUGAGUAUACAGGUAUUAAAAAUAAUCAUGUUGUGUUCUUUAAAUACAUACUUUUUUUUGGCCCCACCCUUGGCAUAUGGAAGUUCCCAGGUCAGGGAUCAAAUCCCAGCCACCGCUGCAACUUAAGCACCUGCACUGACACAGCAACAGCAACACAGUAUCUUUCACCAUUUCUUUCACCUGGCUGGAAAUGGAAUCGUGCCUCAGCAGCAACCUGAGCCGCUGCAGAGACAAUACCAGAUCCUUAACUCACUGCACCACAGCAGGAACUCCUAAAUAUACACUAUUUUAUUUGUCAAUUAUACAUCAAUAAAAUGGGGGGAAAUAAAUAGAAAUAGAAAUAAAAAAGGAAGAAGAGGGAAAACAAAAUGAAUUGAAUCUAUCUGAAAGCCAUUUGCUAAUAUUUUCAAAUUCGUAAUUCAGAAGGAUCCACUCAGAAUGGACACUUUACAUUACAGGGUUUACAGAACAUAAUGUUGCCCUGAACAAAACCCAGAUUAAUAUUACACAAUUCAGAGGCCUCGUUCAACCAUCUCUUGCCUUCUCUCACCGCAUAACAAAGUAGAUUAGUAUUUUACUCUUAAUAGUAACAGCUAACAUUUAUUGAGUAUUUAUUAGUCAAGGAUUGUACUAGAUGCUUUUCAGCUUUACCUCAUUUAAUGCUAAUAACCACACUAAGUACUAUUAUUAUACCCUUUUUCUAGGGAAGAAAAUGAAAUUUAUAAAGCAUAUAGCCAAGGUUACAGAACUAGAAAAUGGCAGAAAGAGAAUUGCAAACAAUAGCCUAUGAAGUGCCAAAGCUCAACCUUUGAAUCACUGCCCUAUAAAAUCUAGUAGCAUGAAAAAUCGAAUACAUUUGGUUUGGGAUGAUAAUUGCUUAGUUUGAUCCUGGAAAGGAUAGACUAGGAACUGCCUGGCAACACUCAGGACCUCUCAAACAUAGAAAGCCUUUGAAUGCAUAUUACUGGAAAACAAGAAACAACCUUCCAGGCAUCUGGGGAAAGUGGUUGGAGAUAAUUUGAAAACUAGCAAAAUGAGGAAGAGAAGGAAAAAAAAAAAGGAUUUGACUGCGUAAGAGUGACGCUAAUUAGAACCACUUGUGUCUGUUUCCAUUUACAUUUAUACUGCAACAUAUCAGACUGCAAGAUUUUGGGUGCUUAUCAUAUGUUUUAUUUUAUAGCAACAAGUUCUUGCCACUGGACCUCUCAGACCACACCUGAGUGCAGAGAAGCACCUCUAUGUUGGCUUGGAUUUCAUGCUGACCUGGUUUCAAACUUGCUAUACCAUGUAUUGGCUGUGCAGCCUUGGGCAAGCCACAUAAACCCUAACCUCAGGUUUUUCACCUGUAAAGUGAAAGUUAAAAAAAGGGGGAGGGGGGAGAACAUGUCCUAAAUAUCAUGUGUGUAAAUGCACACGGCACCGUGUUAGCUACUAUUUGUAUCAUGAUGAUGAUUAAUAAGCAUGGCCAAAUAUGAUCAUUGAAAGCUUGAAACAGUUUUGUUGUUUUGAUUAGGGAAAAGCAUUGUCCUCACCUCUCUCCAUUUUGCAGCUGUGUUUCUAACUUACAGUCCCACCUCCUGUUCCACCCUCCCCAUAACAGACUUAUAUAUCCUUCAGCAAAUACAAUAACUUGCUAAGAAAAGAAACAAGAAUAAGGAGAGCAGAGGGGUGGAGUAACAGAAGAACGAGAUUAAAAGGAAGAGGCUAUUUUUAAGUUUAUAAAACAACCUCAUGCCAUGCAGCAGAAAUAGAUCCAGCGUUGUCAACAGAGAAGGGAAAUUUCUUUGUGACACUUCCUGGGGUGAAGGACAGAAAAUUUACCGCAAUGAACCAUCCAGAGGUGAUUAGAGAGAAGGUCCCGUCCAGUCCUUAGGCAACACUCCCAUCUUACCACACAUAAAUACCCAGUGUCCAGAUAUAACCACAUUGAUUUCACCGUCAGAAAAAUCAAGACAUCUAAACUAGGAAUAUGUUAACUGAAAUGCAUAUUCUAUGGGAUUCUAUAAAGUUGCACAGGGAGAACCAAGAGACAGUUCCAGAGAUUGAAUCUGGCCUUAAAUAUACGGUAUUAAACAUGUGCAAACUGGAGGUAAUAGCAGACCUUAAGUGAAGUGUGAGGGAACAAAUUAACUGCUCAGUAAUCAUUGAGAAACUCUAACGUUCCAUAGUUGCUUCUUAAAGGGGAGGAGCACGUAGGCCACAGGAUCUCAGCUUAGGAGGGGGAUGUGGCUGGAAAGUGCUUGGGUCGAACUUCUGAGCCUAAUGAAAAAAAAAGAAGGUGCUUCAGGGGACUGGAGGGUAGAAAAAUGGGAAACCCUUCCAAGGGCCUGUAUUGAGAUCUUCACAGGCUAUCAAUUGUAUUUGGAAGAGUGGUUAUUAUGUUUAUUUGAGAUUUAUUAUAGAAGAAGGAAUUAUCAAUGGAACAACUCCUAGUGGAUAGAUAAUUGGCAAAACAUUUAUCAUUGACUCAUUGUUCCUGGGAAAGCUAUUAAUCUUUAUCACUUCAGUAUCUGUCAAUAAAAUAUGGGAUUAUUAUCUGUCAAUAAAUUAUGGCCUUGCCCUACAUCUUAGUAAUAUGAGAACUGCACAAGAUGGCCAUUGCCCAUCAGGACAGCUGCCACUCAAACACCAAGGAAUUCUUCGAAGUGUGUAAUAGAGACCUCUAAUCAGCUACCACAACCACCUGUGGAGGAGAGAGCCGGAGGGGUGGUGAAAAACCUCAUUUGGUGAUUUAGAAAGUAAAAAGGAAGAAGAGUGAGUGGGUGAGAGUCCUAACAGCCUGAGGUAUCAAUGAGAUUUGAGAUAAAUUAUGAAAAAUAAGGGAGAAAAUAUAAGGCAUAGAUGGAAGCACAGUGCAAUAUCCAAAUAAUAAAGAAAACAUCCCAAGUGAGUUUUGCAGUCCAAAGGCAUAAAUAAAUACAGCAGUCAAGUAAAACUGGGAAGGAAGCUUAAAAGGGGGUGGGGAGCGGAGAGUUAAAGUAAAAAAGACCACAUUAAGAAAAUCUUAGACGUUGUACAAACGCACAGAAUUAAAUGAGAACAAAAAGCAAAACAGUCAUGAAAAUGGAUGAUGUCCUGCUGGGGGUUUUCUCAUUCAUUAACUUUUCAUUCUUUUUCCUUAAACAAAUGAUUUCAAGUUAUUGCUCACUUUCAAUUUUUUAAAAACUACCUUAAAGGAGUUCCCCUGUGGUGCAGUAGAUUAAUGAUCUGAUGUUGUCACUGCAGAAGCUCAGGUCACUGCUGUGAUGUGGCUUCAGUCCCUGGCCCAGAAACUUUCACGUAUGCCAUGCGCUUGGUCCAAAAAAAAAAAAAAGGACCACCUUACAGAGCCACGAAGCUGGGAUUCAGUUGUUUUAAUGGUAAAUGUAAACUGGCUAGCUGAAGGAUAGCGGCUCAUGAUGAAGAAAAAAAUGAUAGUCCAAGAGGAAGAGUGUAUCUGGGUUUGCCCAGCGCCGUCCAGAGAGACAGAGACGCUGGGACUCACUUCUGUCUGGACUUUCACCUCUUCACCUGAAGCAAGGCCUUUAUAGUUUCCCUCUGGCAUACCCAGAACUGUCAGCGUCACUACUCUUGCACUUUGGGGCCAUUAUUAAGUGAAACAGGGGUUACUUGAACACAAGCAUUGCAAUACUGAGAGAGUUCAUCUGAAAACAGAGAACAGCCAUUAAGUGACUAACAGGACGUGCUGGACCAAAGGAUGAUUCGCAUCCUGGGUGGGAUGAAGAGGACAGUGAGAGAUGCCAUCGUGCGCCUCAUAACGGUGUGCGACUGAAAACUUAUAAAUUAACUCUGGAAUUUCCCAUUGCAUAGUUUCAGGCUGAGGUUGACCACGGGUAACUGAAAGUGCAGAAAGCAAAACCGUGGAGAAGGGGGACUGCUGUAUUGCAUUAAGGGUGGUGUUUGUUUUCAAAUAAGCAUGGAAUUGGUUUUUUUUAUUUUUAAACAUCCACCAGGCUGCCUAAGACAUUUAAAAACUCCCUCCUCCCUCGGGCACAGGGCAUUUGUGCAUUAGCUUUGUCCCGAGGACCCUGAUGUCCCCCAUCCCUGCCAUCCCACUCCCACCCCUGCGGCUGUCCCAGGAGAGCGUCCACUCUCACAGGGACCCUUCCUCUCGGCCUCCAGCUCCUUCAGGGCAGGCCUCACACCUCCUGGAAAAUUGAGCAAUGCCACCAUAACCACAAGGCCACAAGGCCACUUCACUGCUCCCUUUCUCUCCCCAUCACACCCUGACCACACCAUUCCCUCGGCUCCUGCCCUGUCCCGCCCCGCCAUGUCCAUCACAGCCUCCUGAGCCUUUUCUUUCUAAUCUAUUCAGCACAGGUUCUAACUGUAUAUUAAUUUAUUAAACUAAUGGAGGCAGGAUCCAUGUCCACUUAGCUCAUCGGUAGAUUUUAGCACCUGCUACCAUCCUACCAUGCUUGGCACCUAGAUGACAAUCAAUAAAACAUUUUCAACAGACAAGUGAGCAAAUGGCUAACCCCAGCCACCUGGCUACUCCAUGCUGCUCGCUCCUACUGACCAUCUCAGGCAACUCACUCAUGGUCAGAAGCAGCCUGCACACCAGGACAGCAUAUUUGUUGUCCCUUGGCUUGGCAGAGACGAGAAAUUCACUUGUGAGUCAAGUGCCACUGGAAGGACUCUUCCCCCAGGAAACAAAGCAGCCACAUCUCUGGGCGGCCACUCUGCAACUGUCCCUCCCAUGGCUGCAGAAGCAGGAGUGAAAUCACUACGCUUCAGAGGGAACCUGCUCUCUUCAAAUACCGCCAUUCUAUCAGAAACACCACUGAGCAUUUUAAUCCCUUCAAGUCCUUUCUGCCCACCCCCCACCCAGGCAGACUCUGCCCUAGAAGCCAGUGGACCAGCUCUCCUACUCCCUGCCCAUGGCAGGUCCUUUUCACCAAAAGAAAUGAAAUGGCAAUAUGUUCAAAUUAGUUUUAAAAAGUUCUGUGGGGCGUUGCCGUUGUGGCGCAGCAGAAACAAUGCUGACUAGUAUCCAUGAGGAUGCAGGUUCAAUCCCUGGCCUUACUCCCUGGUUGGGGAUCUGUUGUAGCCAUGAGCUGUGGUGUAGGUCACAGGUGUGGCUUGGGUCCCACGUUGCUGUGGCUGUGUUGUAGGCCGACAGCUGUAGCUCCAAUUCGACCCCUAGCCUGAGAACUUCCAUGUGCUGCAGGUGCAGUCCUGGAAAAUAAAUAAAUAAAUAAAUAAUUCUGUGAUUUGUGGAUUAGCCACAUCUAAUAAACUGUUGUUUAUUAGGAAAAAAAUGUGAUUUUUCUAACCAAAAUAAUCCACAUAUGUUAGUUUUGAGUUUCUUGGAUGAAAUGUGCUAAAACAAAUACUAUCCUCUAUGCUAACGUACCAGUGAAAGUGAAAUGCCCCAAACUCCUAUCAAAAUAUAGGUAUUUUAUCCAGCUCCUACUUGAAAUCUUCAUGUCAUUUAUUUUCAUCCUCAAGAGACAUAUCAAUUCACAUUAUCUGGUAGAGGAUAUAAAAAUGAAGAGAUCCCUGUUGGCUCAGCAGAUUAAGCAUUCAGCCUUGUCACCACUGAGGCGUGGGUUCAAUCCCCAGCCCAGGAACUUGUCUAUGCCGUGGGCACCGCCCCCCUCCAAAUAAAAAGGGGGGCAUGAAUUUAUUCUGAUUUCAUCUGCCACCUAUGAUAUGUUACUUCCUCCCUGCUUAAAUUUUAUCUUUCAAUAUGUUGAGUUCAUUUUUCGGUUUUUCUAUUUGGGUCUCAGGUUUUUACACAGUGUCUCUAGCAUGGAGAAAAAAAAACAACAAACAAAAUAUGUGCUGGCUCACAAGUUACUCCUCUGAUCCUGAGAACUGUAUUCACUUGUCUUUAAUCCUCCCUUAUUAAGUACACCUCUAAGAACUGAUUUCAUGCCUCUUGCAACACACCACACCCUUUAAAUAAAACAGAG